AAUGAGGACAAAGAAGAUGAAGAAGACAAUAAAAGAGAAGAAGAGGAUGAAGAGGACAAAGAAGUGGAUGAGGCCACCCAAGGGGAAGGGAACGAACAUGUGAGGAAAUCAACAAGGGUGAUAAGUAAGGGGAAAGCUCUUAGGUCUUCAUUUCUGGAAAUUAAAAGCAAGGCUGGGAAAAAGAGAACAAUUGAUGACGAGCAAGCUUUAUUUGCCAUGUGUACAGCAAGGUGUAAUGAAGAGGAGCAAAAGCAAUACUUUGUAUCGAUGUAUGGAUACUUCCUAACCCGUGGUGAGUUGUAAUGUCUCCAACAUAGAAGAUGGAUAAACGACAGGUUUAUGACUAUGGUGGCAAAGACAUUCGUUGGAGAUCAAAAGGAAAAAGACAGCCGAGUCAACCGCCAUAUAUUUUCUGCAGAUUUCAUGCAGAAAAUGGUGGCAAAUCCUUUAAGGUGGAAAUGGGAGGACCAUGAAAGAGAAAUAUUACCUGAAUAUAUUGGAUACAAUAUCGGGGAUUGCGAUUUCAUUUUUGGUCCUACUCUAUUUGAAGAUCAUUGGUUUUGUUAUGUUUUCAAGACAAAGACCAUGACCUUCCAUGCCCUUGACUCGUUGGUUGAUAGCAUCACAUUCAUGAGAUUACAAGCCGAGGAAGAAGAAACAAA